UAUGUCGUUGUAGAUUGGCCAAUCAUA
rnacentral:sRNA from 1 species